CGCUAUCAUCAUUAACUUUAUUUAUUACCGUCAUUCGAUCCCGAAUGUCAGUUUUACCCCUAUUUCAACCGGAUGCAUGCAUCCGGUUUUUUUU
rfam:Escherichia hermannii NBRC 105704 DNA, contig: EH10570401.